rnacentral:lncRNA from 1 species
AUGCCUUCAGAUCAAAAUAAUAAUUUGACUUCUCUCAUUUUCCAGAUGAAUAAUGAAAUGCAAAUGCAAAACCAACUCCAAAUGCAUAUUUCACAGAUGCAAUUGCAAUUUUUCCAGUGGAAAAAUGAAAAGCAGACCCAACUGCAUAUGCAGCUUUCUGAAAUGAAAAACAUGCAGAUGCAGCUUUUCGAUCUGCAACAGGAAGUCACAAAAGUCCAAGCUAUUGGAGAUGCCUCCCAUGUGGGAGGGGCUCUAACCCUACGCUCUGCUGAUUUGCCUCCAGAUAAGAUGGAAGCGCUGCAACCGGAUGUACUGACUGGCUCUGAACUACAGGAAACACACAGAAUGUCCCAUAUUGCUCCAUCCACACUGAUGAUUAGUGCAACCUCCACGGACGGUGGCCCGGCGCCCCCUGGUGUCGAGCCUGAUGAACUACUGUUGGGACCUCUCCUGCCUCAGGGGAGGGGUGGUAAGCCCACAGUAUCUGUUAUAUUGCAACAAGGGCAUUCCUGCAACGCGCUUUUAGAUACUGGUUUAGAUUUUACAAUCAUGAGCAAGUCUCUUUUCGACCGCGUCUGCCUGGAUGUAGGUGGAGGCGUACGCCCUCCAGAACUGAUUUCCUGUGCAUUAACUAUCCGUGUUUUCUCUGAUUCUACAGUGCUCUUGUCUUCUAAGACUCUGCUCCAAUUCUCGAUCGGCCCUACGAGCUUAACGCACCCCGUGUACAUCUCCGAGCAUGCAAGGAUGCCUUUCACCCUUGGCAUGGACUUUCUGAGGCGCAUUGAUGCUUUCAUUGAUGUAGAAGGGGGGGAACUCUGGUCAGGUGUUGUAGAACCUCUGCCCAUCGUUCUGCCUCCUGACCUCCACCGUCUCACAGUUGGUAUCUCUGAGCAGGGGGGAACAACAUGUUCACCACCUAGCCCAGAAGCUUUGCCACCACAGAUUCAGCUUUCAUCAGAGUCACAUUCUGUUGAUUUCUCUAACGUAGCUGAGGCUCCUACCACUGUAGUCGAGCGAGACAAACAACAACUUAGGUUAAAAUAUCCUGACUGUAAAAAUCUUUCUCUUUCCACCAUGUGGGCAGGUAAACACCUUUCCAGCUACAUCGGUGGCCAGAAACUCAGCUUGGAAACGUGA